rnacentral:rRNA from 2 species
ACAUACGACCAUAGGAAGUGGAAAAUAGGGCUUCCCGUCCGCUCAGCCGUACUCAAGCCACUUGCCGGUCAGUUAGUAGUAUGGUGGGUGACCACAUGCGAAUCCUGACUGUUGUAUGUUUUU